CCUAGUCAAUAUCCUAUCAAAAAUCAUAAUAGGUUUGUUAUGAUAUCUACAAGGUUUGCUAUGGAGAUUGAUGUAGAUUUAUUUUGAUGCAUAUUAUAUGCUUUACGGCAUAUUUGGAUAUGUUGCUUUGUUGUGAUAUCCACAAGGACAGUAUUUUUCAGAUAUGACUGUAUAGAAAUAAAGGGUCUGACUUAACUAAAAAUACUAUAGUUUGUUGUGAUAUCCAUAAGGCUAUGAGUAUUUUUAGAGACAGAUUAUGUUAAGAGUUGCAUGAGAUGCAAUUGGAUAGAUUUUUCUACCUUUGAACUCAUUGAGAUUUGUUGUGAUAUCCACAAGACUUCAUUGAGGGAUUAGGAUCUCAACACCAUUAAGAAAUCAGAUUAAAAUUUUUCAUUUACUAUAGAAGAGGGCUAUGGUAUCCGAUAAAAUAGUGAGAAACAUAACUAGUUUAAAAGUCUUCAUCUAGUUAUGCAUGUCAAACAUGAGUGGUCUGCUUAUACUAUUGUUCUUUAUUUAUAUAGAUUUAAGUAUACAUUAUAGCUUCUUUAUUUUCAUUGCAUGGAACCAUAAAUAAAAAUAUGUUGACUGAUCGAACUCUGUGGAUUGAUUGAGAAACUUGCAAAUAAGGUUUGUAUCAG
rnacentral:lncRNA from 1 species